rnacentral:rRNA from 1 species
UACGAAGGGGGCUAGCGUUGCUCGGAAUUACUGGGCGUCAAGCGCACGUAGGCGGCUUGUUAAGUCAGGGGUGAAAUCCUGGAGCUCAACUCCAGAACUGCCUUUGAUACUGGCGAGCUUGAGUUCGGGAGAGGUGAGUGGAACUGCGAGUGUAGAGGUGAAAUUCGUAGAUAUUCGCAAGAACACCAGUGGCGAAGGCGGCUCACUGGCCCGAUACUGACGCUGAGGUGCGAAAGCGUGGGGAGCAAACAGG